GACGAACGCUGGCGGCGUGCCUAAUACAUGCAAGUAGAACGCUGAAGGAGGAGCUUGCUUCCCUGGAUGAGUUGCGAACGGGUGAGUAACGCGUAGGUAACCUGCCUGGUAGCGGGGGAUAACUAUUGGAAACGAUAGCUAAUACCGCAUAACAGUAGAUAUCGCAUGAUAUCUACUUGAAAGGUGCAAUUGCAUCACUACCAGAUGGACCUGCGUUGUAUUAGCUAGUUGGUGAGGUAACGGCUCACCAAGGCGACGAUACAUAGCCGACCUGAGAGGGUGAUCGGCCACACUGGGACUGAGACACGGCCCAGACUCCUACGGGAGGCAGCAGUAGGGAAUCUUCGGCAAUGGACGGAAGUCUGACCGAGCAACGCCGCGUGAGUGAAGAAGGUUUUCGGAUCGUAAAGCUCUGUUGUAAGAGAGGAACGAGUGUGAGAGUGGAAAGUUCACACUGUGACGGUAUCUUACCAGAAAGGGACGGCUAACUACGUG
rnacentral:rRNA from 1 species